rnacentral:rRNA from 1 species
GGACGAACGCUGGCGGCGUGCUUACCACAUGCAAGUCGAACGGAAAGGCUCUGCUUUUGUGGGGUGCUCGAGUGGCGAACGGGUGAGUAACACGUGAGUAACCUGCCCUUGACUUUGGGAUAACUUCAGGAAACUGGGGCUAAUACCGGAUAGGAGCUCCUGCUGCAUGGUGGGGGUUGGAAAGUUUCGGCGGUUGGGGAUGGACUCGCGGCUUAUCAGCUUGUUGGUGGGGUAGUGGCUUACCAAGGCUUUGACGGGUAGCCGGCCUGAGAGGGUGACCGGCCACAUUGGGACUGAGAGACGGCCCAGACUCCUACGGGAGGCAGCAGUGGGGAAUAUUGCACAAUGGGCGGAAGCCUGAUGCAGCAACGCCGCGUGCGGGAUGACGGCCUUCGGGUUGUAAACCGCUUUCGCCUGUGACGAAGCGUGAGUGACGGUAAUGGGUAAAGAAGCACCGGCUAACUACGUG